rnacentral:tRNA from 1 species
UUUUCUGUCAGAGAAUAUCCUAUUUACACUGGGGAGUGUAGUUGUGCAACUCAACUUAGUUUGA